rnacentral:lncRNA from 1 species
GUUAUCUCCAUUGGCAAAGGAAAAGCUUGAUUGUAUUCCGGGUGCAGCCUUGCAAAUGCAGAGAGAAAGGCAAUGGUACAAGGUUAGAAUUAUUUUAUAUUAUUUUUGUAGGCUUAUUUAUAUCUAUGGCCUAACUCCGCCUGUGUAAGUUUAUCUCACAUUGCCGGUCCCAAGCCCGGAUAAAGGAGGAGGGGGAGGGCGUCAGGUAGUCGACAGCCGGCACUCCUCGGUUACGUCGAAUCCUUAUGAAAAUGAAUCCAGAACGAAAUCGCGCAAUGGCGUUCUAGGAUUCAUAUAGCCGACCCCACUUAGUGGGAAAAGGCUUUGUUGUUGUUGUAUUUAUAUCUAUGGCCUCUCAAAAUCAAUCCAAGGUACUCAACCUCACGAAAUUCAAAUGGAAACUCUGGUUCAUGUCCCUCGUUACCCAGAAUUUUAGAUUGAAACUUUAUUAAUAAAUAAUUUGAUCGAAGAACAAAAUACUGAAUAUUUGUGUUAAUUAAGAAAUUUAAUUAUGAAAAUUAAUAAUUCUUUGUAAAAUCAUGGAAGUUUUAUUUUUAAAUUUAUUAUUAUUAUUAUUAUUUUGGAGAGAGGGGGAGAUGUUUGAAACUAUUAUAAUAAUUUAGCGAAGGGGGAAGUUUUGAACCCAGGAUGCUAGGACAACUUGGAAAGGUCAACACCAAAUAAGGAUUUAUAAUUUUUUUUCCUCAAAUUUGAAUUGUGUGAAUUCUCAGGAAAAAAAAUAAUUUUAAAUAUGGUUACGUGUUAAACAUUGAUACAUUUUACGUAUAAUACAGUGAUACCUUUUUUUAUGAAAGAAUUGGUGCAUUAUAAAUAUAUGAAUGGGUUUAAAUAAAAGACUAAAAAAAUUUAGUACAAUCAAGAGUUUAAAAAUAUUGGUACAAAAAGAAAUUAAAUGUACGGAGUACAAAUUAAAACUAAAAAAAAAUGGUAUUUUAAAAAUGGUUGCAAAUAAAGAAAUAGGUUCAAAUUAAAAAGAAAAAUAUAUGAUACAAAAUUUAACAAAAAAAUAUAAAUAUACCAAAUCAAACCUUUCUAACACUAAAUAAAUGUAUUUGAAAAUGAUUAAAUAAUUUUUAAUUGUAAAAUUUAAAUAUGCUAAUAUGUAAAUAUUUAAUUAAAAAUGAUGUGGAUAUAAAAGCCAAAGGGUCAUAAAAAAUUGGAAGAAAACAAAUAUUUUUAAUCGAUGAAAUA